UAAAUGUUUUUAAAACAUAAAAAAACACAGAUAUUUUCACAGUUUUUUAGACAUUAACUAUAUAUAAAAUGAUAUAGUAGAAAAAGGAAAAGGAGUGAAAUACCAAUCUUUCAAAAAAAGAAAUUAUCAAAAAAAAUGUUUGGAGAGUUUAUCUACACUUGCCAUUAUAUCAUUGGUUCAAUUUUGUUUGUAAUUUAAAAGUUACUAAAUAACUAAAUUUUACUAAAUUUAUUAAAAUUUAUAUUUAUAAAAAAAAACUUCAGGACUUUCUUAACUGAUAAUAAUGCGUGCUUGAUAAAAAGAUGUCUAAAUUGCUCAUUUGUUUUAUAAAGAAGCAUUCAGGACACUGAAGGCAAGAAGUUAUAUAUAUAGUAGUCUCCUGCGGCUUUCUAAAUAAACUAAUAUCGUUUUGGGCAUUUCCGCUGGGUUGUUUUUAUGGUUAAAUCCUAACUGUCUGAAUUUUGGACACAUCUUCUAUGUACUUAAAAGGGUGGAUUGUAUUAAGAGCAUUGUAAGAGUUUUUAAAAAAAAAUUAAUAUAAAAUCACUAUUAAUUGAAGAUCUUAAAACAUUUCUUCUCAUCUGAUGUUAUUGAACAUAUAAUUCAUUUAAAAUUCUGUAUAAUAAUUCAAAAUUUGUUGUUAUUCAAUUAGUAAUUUUAAAAAAUCAUGUAAAAUCAUAUUUAUUCAAACAUUACUAACUUGUUUAACUUUGUUUGAAAUGAUUUUUUGAAAUUUUAAAAUACAUUUUUUAGAUAAAUAUGGAGGAGAAAGUCACAUUUAAAGCAUAAUAUCUGGAGUUAUAGGAGUUAAAUUAAAGAUACGAAUUCUAAAAAAAGAAGGUGGGUGUUGUGAGAGUAUAGCAGUGGAGAGUGGAACGCAAAAUUGAGUUUCAGUAGAACGAACCCUCAUCACUUAGACUAAGGUUGGAAAAAUCCGUACUAUGACGGCCUGAAGCUCAACCAAUUUGGCUAAGAUGCUGAUGUUGCUGUCGUAGAUAAUUUAGCUAGUCAAAACAUCGUAGUUUCUCACGGUGUAAGAUGCUGAUGUUGCUGUCGUAGAACAAAAAGGAGAAGCUUGAUUAUGAUAUGAUUGCCUUCAUGUUUGACUAGCUCUUGCUGCUUUUAUGUGAUAUUUAGAUGUGGGUAAGACAUGUUAUUAGUAAUAUGUGGUCUUAUGUUUUGAGUAAGGAAACAGUAUCUUAUUCAUGAGGAAAAAAAUAGUGAUCUAAUUACAUGAUCUAUAGUGCUCUUCGAUAUCGCAUAUCGCCUGUGGUUGAUUCGUUAUAUGUUGUAUUUGAUACCACUAAAGCAAAAACAUAUGAAGUUGAGAUAAUGAGGUGAUUAAUGACGACAUACUGAUAUUCUCUAAAGAUAUGCAUUUCAAUUAGAGUCAAAGUAGAAAACCCGAUCUGGUUUGGUCCCUAGAAACACCGGACUUGAUCUGAUCCAAAUACAUUAAUUCGAAAAUAGUAUUUUUUUAGUUAAAUCGAAUUGAAGUUAAAAAAAAUUUAAGGUUUAAUCGAUCAGGUUUUAUUAAACUAUAAAUUUUGCUUAAAACUUUUUACUAGUUAAGAUAUAAGAUUAAAUAAGUUUUAAUAAAUUUAGGUUGUUUAUAAAUGUAUAUUGAAGCGAACAUAAGAAACCAAAAAAUAUCUAAAUCUUAUUACGUGAAAUAGUGUUUUGCUCUCUCUUCCUUGCGUCACGUAGGAUUCCACCUAAGAAAGUCGAACUCCAGCGUUACAACAUGUGUCACAUCCGCAUUAAACGCAUCAUUUCAUUUAAACAGAAGUUUGUUGGGUUUCGAUACUUGCCGUGUAUCAUUAAGUUUGGUAUUUAGUGGGUUUCAUCAUGUGAUUAUGGGUUACUUUUGGACGGGCCUAGACAUAAAUUUAAUUGAACCCCAAUUUGCUCCACGUAUAGAGGGUCAUCCUCUUGGUUAAUCCGCCGUCGCAACAAGAACGUUUCGGGCCCUAAGUUCUUAUGAAUCGAAUCGUCGUCUUCAAUGAUCUCAUUAACAAUUUCUCCUCCACACCUCAUACGAUCUAUCAUUGAAUGCAUGCUCUUUUAGUCCCUUUCUCAUAAUUUUCGGCUAUAAAAAGGGGUGUGAAAGGGUGACACACAGUAAUAAAGAACUAUGGCAUCUCAAUGUCCCAGUGCUAUGGUUGAAAUCAAUAUAACGCGGCGAUAUUAAAUAGUGGUGAGGUUUCUGGUGAUGAAUAAGUUAGACGUCGGUGCCUGUGAUUAACACGAAGAAGUUGGAACUGCCGGCGAUGGAUCCCUUGAAAGCGGAGAUGAGGCUACUGAUAAUGAAAAAUUGAUCGGAGAGAAUAAGUCACAAGUGAAUCUUACAAAAAAAGAUUAUUGAACGAGCGCACCCAGGAGGUUCAAGAAGACGUAAAAUGGGAUAGCCAAUCCUCACCACACCGUGCUCGAUAAGAUGACAAGUUUCUGGCUUAUUAGAGAUAAACAUGUAAAUUGUAAAAUUAUUAAAAUGAUUUUGAUCCAGUUUCGUAUUUGCAUCAACAAUUGUAAUUUUUUUUAAACCCUUUUAUUUAAAAUAAUUUUAUUAUUAUUA